rnacentral:rRNA from 1 species
CCCACCUGACCCCAUGCCGAACUCAGAAGUGAAACACCGUAGCGCCGAUGGUAGUGUGGGGUCUCCCCAUGCGAGAGUAGGGAACUGCCAGGC